UACGUAGGGAGCAAGCGUUGUCCGGAUUUACUGGGUGUAAAGGGUGCGUAGGCGGCUUUGCAAGUCAGAUGUGAAAUCUAUGGGCUCAACCCAUAAACUGCAUUUGAAACUGUAGAGCUUGAGUGAAGUAGAGGCAGGCGGAAUUCCCCGUGUAGCGGUGAAAUGCGUAGAGAUGGGGAGGAACACCAGUGGCGAAGGCGGCCUGCUGGGCUUUAACUGACGCUGAGGCACGAAAGCGUGGGUAGCAA
rnacentral:rRNA from 1 species